rnacentral:lncRNA from 1 species
GGGAGCAAAAGAGUGAUGGACGUUGAGACCUAUUCGUACAAUUUAAGGGGUGUAUAAACGAUCACUUUCAUCAUGAAUACCCAAGAACAGCAAAAAAUGACGUAUAUUAGUUGGACACACAAACAAUUCUAUCACAAGGAAAAAGAUGUUGCUUAUAGAAAUCUUCAGAACUGACAUAUUUAAGAUGGAAGGAUAAGAAACGUGGCAUGUUAGAUUCAUAUGCCGGUAUUUUCUUGGAGAAAAGUUGGCUAGUUUUGCCUUUUCGUGUAAUAUCAAUUUGUGAGACUAGGUCAGAAACUGCAGCUAGAGUGCCCAUUUGGAAGUCACUCAUAGUACGAAACGCCUCCCAUUUAUCAGCUUCCAGGAUAACAGAGCAUAUAUCCUUUGAUUAUGGCACGACCCAGCGGGGCAUAAAUUGCCCAGAGUUGGUUCACCAAUCGCGUAAGGAAGGGGAUAGUCCCCACCAUCACAUGCCUGAAAGAGUCGUUUGAACCACGGAAGACUGCGCCAAUGCCUCAAGUGUUACCAAUUUCAGAAGGAACGAGAGAAUGUGUUCCAUGAACGUUUACUUUCAGAGUGCCUGGGUUGGGCGGAAUCCAGUGAUAUGCCAUGUUUGCACUGUUGAAAAAGAAAGUAGAGCCCCGAAUUUUUAUGGCUGCAUACUUGCAAAAUUUGGAGAAGAUUUGUACUACUUAACGUUUGUAAGUAAAUGCUCGACUGAAGCUUGAGAAGAACCACCUGAGUUCAUCAUUGCUAAUACAGUUGACUUACACAUGGAACUCAGCAUGUAUUAGCAAGUGAAGAUACGGAAUCAAUGUAGGGAGUUCCAUGCAAGUUAAUAUACUUUGAUAAUUCUAUAUGAAGCAGUCUAGUAAUGACAACAAAAGUAGCCCUCUCUUGCAGGUCCAUGAUGAAAGCCAAUUAAAAGAAUUUUGCCAAGCAUAACUUCAUGUUUUCUGCCGACCACAAAGCAUGACCUACUAAAUUAAUGUUUUUGACGUAGUAAAGCAGCAUCUCAACUAGAGAAGCGUGAAGUACAGAGAAAGGCAAGGCCCUCUCUUUCCUUGUCACACCUAUGGAAAGUACUUCUCACGCAAGGCAAGGAGAGCAGCAUCCGGUUCAUGCACUUCAAUUAAGUACAGUAACGCAGAUGCCAUAGAUGCAUCUGCUGCAAACCGAUGACCAAGCAUUUCAUCUAGGUACACCUGCUUCAUAGUAAUUCUUAUUCUGUAAACAACCGCAGAAAAGCAUGUUCAAUGUGACAUCAUUAGGCAAGCAAUCUUUGGCUUCCGUAUAGUUCACUCGCUUCAUCCAAUAACCCUUCAUGACAAUAUGCUUGGAUCAUCACUGUGUAUGUCUUGACAUCAGAUGGCACACAUUUCACAGGAAAGUUGUUAAAAAUGCUUCUUGCGUUCUCCAGAUGUGUUUUUCACCAGUCUGGAAAUCCACGCCAGCAAUUUUUUGUUCCACCUAAAAAUUAGGACAUAAUGGAGCCUGUCUAAACGAAGGUACACAAAUUUUCAGAAAGUUUGCCAUGUGUUUGUCUUGCCAGGUACUUGCAAGAUGAUCCAUAGAUGCGGGAGCAAAAGAGUGAUGGACGUUGAGACCUAUUCGUACAAUUUAANAUUUAAAUCAGGCAAGUGGUUUUUAGUAGUACUAAUAAAUUAGUCUGAUGCAAGUCUGGAUAACAACAUUGCAAGUACUUUAGCUGAGAAAAUGCUCAAUGUAGUAUUGUACAGAGGGGCACAAGGCUAGUGAACAAAUAGCUGGCAGAGUGCUCAUAGACUUGCCUUGAUUAGAAGACCUUAGUUUAACUAUUAGCACUUGCAAUUUCUUAACAUUUAGGCAUGCUUAUCAGCUUCUUCACAUCUCUGCUUGAGAACUUAAAACACAGAAACACAAAUAUUUAAGAUGGAAGGAUAAGAAACUUGGUAUGUUAGAUUCAUGUGCAGGUAUUUUUUUGGAGAAAAGUUGGCAUGUUUUGCCUUUUCGUGUAAUAUGCAUCCAUCAGAAUUUACAUGUAUAAACAACAGGGCUAGCAGUUGAACAAAAAUUCAAACAGGAACCAUUUAAUUGAAUAUCAUCAUAACAGGAAAUAAAGGUCUUAUAUGGAGAUUUUGACUGAACAACAGAAGUGCAUCAUCGAGCUAUUAAAAUCCAAAUUAGAAUCAUAUGAAGCAACUAUUGCAAGAAUUUCUUACGCAAAGCAAGAAGAGCCAUGGAUAAGUGUUUUGUAGGUAGCAUCACUAGGCAAGCAAUUACUAGCUUGCAUUUUCACAAAAGUUUAUUAGCUUCAUCCAGUAGCUCCCCUUGACAAAAUGUGUAAAUCUUGACAUUAGGUCUUAAGCGAACGAAGGCUGUUAAAAAGACUUUUUGCCUUUUCAAAAUGUCCGUCUUUGCUUCCACACGUCUGCCUGCAAGAAAAUAACAUUCCAAUAUAGUACGGUAACUCUCAAUAGUUGCUUUUAAACCUUCAAAAAUGCUGGCAAAAUCGAAAAGAGUAUGUACCUUAAAAAAUGCUGGCAAAAUCGAAAAGAUUAUGCUGGAAAUAUCUAGCAUAAAUAAAUGAAAGUAAUAAAUUUUUAAAUAAUUAAUGAUUUGAAUCAUUUAUUUUUAAACAAAAAAUGAUCGAUCAAUUUCUAACCUUAACAAUGUAUAAGAAAAUAAUAUCAUUAUAAAAUCAAUAUCUACCACUUAAAAUUGAAUAAAAAAUAUUUUAAUGCUAUAUUUUUACAUAAUCUUCACAUUCGUAUCAUCGGAUCAUUUAUAAGCCGCACUAAAAAAAUAAAUAAAUUCUACAGUGGCGUUUAGAAACUCUAUGUUCAUAUACAAUCAGUAAAAAAAUAACUAAUAAAAUGACAACUAUUAAUCAUAAAUACAAUAAAAUAGAUUGUUCAAGCUAGGUAGACAGCAUAACUCAGUCCUCGUACUUCCCACGAACUCUAAACACCUGGGAAUUAUAAGGGCGCUAUAUAGCAAGGUCCAAGGAACACCUUUUAUAAAGAUUCAUAUACAAUGGAGACCAUAGAGGGUAAUGGUACAUGCUGGUUUUGAACAAAAAGAGUUGGGAUUUAAAGAUAAUGUCAAAAGAUAAGAAUUUUAUUUGGAGGGUGGUCACAAGAUUUAUUCCUAUGACGAUGAAGUUGGUUAAAAAAAAGUACUGAUUCAAAAUAGUGCUUGUAUGUAGGAAAGAUAGUGAGACAAUAUUUCACUUAUUGGUUUCAUGUUUUCUUAUUCAUGUUUGCCGGAGAAAGAUGAAGGUAAUAAAUUUGAGGAAAGAUAAAGUUAAUAAAUUUGAGAAAUAAUGCCAAAUUUGGUUGUUGACUCUCAAAUUUGUAUGACAAAGUCGUAAGAAAAUGAGUAUAUUAGUAGAUAAGCAAUUAUUGGUAGAUAAUAUUGAUGCAUUAGUAUUUCUUCACUUACACAUUUGAGCCUGUUGAUAAGUUAAGUCUCAAACUGAUACUAAAAAAUGAAUUCUCAACCUGAAGCACGAUGUGAUUAUAGUUUUGUAACACGAUCGAGAUCGCGAGAUUACUUUAUGAAGGCUCGUACUCAUAAUUGUACUUAAAAUAUUUAAAUAAUGAAAACGUAGAUAUUAAAAAAUAUAUUUUAGUGCUCAAUCUCCCGGAGAACAUGUUUGCUUAUUUGGGAGCUGGAUUAGGUCUCUGUUAUCUAUUUGAAUCACGCAAGUGGUUUUUAGUAGUACUGAGAAAUUAUUCUGAUGCAAGUCCGGAUAACAACAUUGCAAAUACUUUAACUGUGAAACAGCUCAAUGUAGUAUUGUACAGAGGGGAACAAGGCUAGUGAACAAAUAGCUGGCAGAGUGCUCAUAGACUUGCCUUGAUUAGAAGACCUUAGUUUAACUAUUAGCACUUGCUAUAUCUUAACAUCUAGGCAAUGUUUAUCGGCUUCUUCACAUCUCUGCUUGAGAAGUUAGAACACAGAAACACACAUAUUUAAGAUUGAAGGAUAAGAAACGUGGUAUGAUAGAUUCAUAUACCGGUAUUUUCUUGGAGAAAAAGUUGGCUAGUUUUGCCUUUUCAUGUAAUAUGCAUCCGUCAGAAUUUACAUGUAUAAACAACAGGGCUAGCAGUUGAACAAAAAUUCAAACAGGAACCAUUUGAUUGAAUAUCAUAACAAGAAAUAGAGGUCUUAUUUCGAGAUUUUAACUGAACAAUAGUAGCGGAUUAUCAAGCUAUUAAAAUCCAGAUUAGAAUUAUAUGAAGCAAGUAAGCAACUAAUGCCAGAAUUUCUUACACAAAGCAGGAAGAGCAGGAACCUGUUUUUUAAUUCAAGUAAUCCCAGGGCCAAGGACAUUAAAAUGCAUCUGCGGAGCCUUGAGCACACAUUGCUUCUACAAGUACAAUUGCUUCACUGUACUUAUUGUGAAAACAGCCGUGGACAACUGUGUUGUAGGUAGCAUUAGGCAAGCAAAUACUAGCUUCCAUUUUCACAAAAACUUUAUUAGCUUCAUCCAGUAACCCCCCUUGACAAAAUGUCCAUCUUUGCUUCCACACAUUUGCCUGUAAGAAAAUAACUUUGUAAUAUAGUACUGUAAGUCUCAAUAGUUGCUUUUAAACCGUCAAAAUUGCUGGCAAAAUCGAAAAGAUUAUGUACCUGAGAACUCUCUCCUUUGUAACACCUACGGCGAGUACUUCUUGCACAAAGCAAGCAGAGCAGGAUUCUGUUCUUGCACAUCAAGUAAAUCCAGUAAACCAGAUGCAGUAGAUGCGUCUGCUGCAAAGCCGCGACCAAACAUUUCAUCUAGGAGUACACCUGCUUCAUAGUAAUUCUUAUUCUGUAAACAACCGCGAAUAAGCAUGUUGUAUGUGACAUCAUUAGGCAAGCAAUCAUCAGCUUCCAUUUCCCUGAAUAGUUCAUUUGCUUCAUCCAAUAACCCUUCAUUACAAUAUGCUUGGAUCAUCACUGUGUAUGUCUUGACAUUAGGUCGCAAACCUUUCGCAGGAAGGUUGUCAAAAAGGCUUCUUGCAUUCUCGAGAUGUCCAUUUUUGCUCAGUCCAUCCAUCAGAAUAGUGUAAACAUGUAUAUCAGGAACUAGCCCACGGGAUUCCAGUAUUUGAAAGAAGGAUAGUGCUUCAAAUACAUAACAAUUCUGGCAAAGACCAUGCAACAAGAUAUUGCAUGUCACUAUAUCUAACUCAACACCUUCGUUAAUCAUCUUUUCCUUAAAAAAUUUACGUGCUUCAACAUGUCUACCCGCAUAAAAAAAACCUUGCAGUAUAGUACUGUAAGUCUCAAUAGUUGGGGCUAAACCUUUAGAGGGCAUCUGUUGAAAAAGAGCUAUUGCUCUGUCCACUUUCAUCUUUCUACAGUACCCGUUGAUCAGAAUAUUAUAGCUAAGAGCAUUAGGCAGUAUUCCCUUUCUCGCCAUGCUUUCGAACACUGCUAAAGCUUUAUCAACCUCUCCCCUCAAGCAGUAUCCAUCCAUGAGUGAGCUGUAAGUGACUACAUCAGGAUCUACUCCUUUUUGAAUCAUCAACUCUAUCACAUCCUCUGCAUCUUUAACCAUUCCUUCUUUGCAAUACGCAUCAACCAAUAUAUUGUAAGUAAAAUCAUUUUGAGAAAUGUUCCUAACAUCCAUCUCCUUGAGCAAUUGUUUGACAUCAUGCCAACGAUUAACGUCACACAGACCUUGAACUAAAGAGUUGUAGGUUAUAACAUCUGGAGAUAUGCCCCUGAUGAGGCAUAUCUUGGGAAAUAAGGCCCCUGAUGAGAGUGGUAUAAGUAACCACACUUGGCACAAAACCGAGCUUGAUGAUUCCAGCCAAUAGUGAAAAGGCAAAAUCGACGCGAUUCAAGUGACAAAAGCAGUUAAUGAGAGUAUUAAAGGUAAUGACAUUAACAGGGAUGCUUUCUACACGCAUCUUUCUAAAAAGGGAGACAGCUACGGAGUAGUGUUUCAUUUUAACAAGGGCAGCUAAUAGUUGAGUGAAGUCGAUAACAGUAGGCGAGGCUUCAUAAGGAGCAUUUUAUCAAACAGUCGAAGAGCGGCAAGAAGUAAAUGUUGAAGACGAGCGUGAGAUGGAUCAGAGGAAUAAGGGAAACGGGGUUUGGGUUUAAAGGGAAUAUUAGGGUUAGGGUUAGUGGAGAAGUGAGAAACUGCAAUAACAGAAUGUCUUAGGAAUCGAGAAUUUGAGAUGACAAAUUUCUUCAUCGUCGUCAUCAUCAUGAUAUCUAUACUUGUUGGACACUCAAAAAAUUAGCCGGCAGAGCAGAGCAGAUGAUAUCAAUUCUUUUCAAUAGUGAUCGAAACUGAAUCACAGUGAAAACGGCGAAAACUUAGAACUAAUCAACAAGAAACAAAACAAACAACACUUGGCAGUUUUUCGUAAAACAGAAGGAAGGAACUCAUCACCCAUUUUAAUGGUAUUAACCCUAACUCGAACGUGUUUUACUCCCAUGCAAACUUGAACCAUGUAUAUCUCUUUUUAAUUUUAACGUAUUUAUUUCAAAACAAAACAAACAACUAAGUCUAUAAAAGAUAAAUAAUAUAUUUUUUCUUAUAAAUGAUGAAAUUUAAAUUAUGAUAUAAAUAUUUAUUAAAAAACAGAUUAUCACAUAUGUAUAGGGCUGUAAAAUGAACCGGGUGAUCCCGGGUACUCCUCUCCUCAAGUACCGGAUCAUAUUAUUUUUAGCUUGUCCAGAUUUGGGUUCGGGAUCGUUUUAUUCGGGUAUAAACCGAUCCCGAGUAUUUGAGAUUCGGAUCUGAACCGGAUAUGAUCCAGUAUCGUAUUUUCUAUUUUUUAACCGGGUAGUUUAUAAUCCAUCAAAUAUGAGCCGGAUAUGAUCCACUAACAUCAAAUAUCAUUAUUAUUUCAGUUGUUCAAAUAAUUAUCAUUUAGUUUAAGUAAACAUAAUAUUAUAAAGUAUAAUAGUUUUGAAUUAAAACUUAUAGUUAUGUGUUGGUAUAUAUCAUUUAUUAAAUAUAUAUGAAGAUAAUAAGCAUGAUCACAUUAAAUAAAUCAUAUUUUAUGAAGAUAUAAACUUAAAUAAGAUAUUACAAUUUUAUAAAAUGAUGACUAUUUACUUGCAAAUGUGUUGGUGUUAAAAUAUAAUAUGUAUAUGAGUUUGAAUCGAAUAUGAACCGUGGAUCAUGUUCGGUUAUUCGGGUAGGAUCAUAUUAUGAAAAAUUAUAUGAGCCUGAAUCUGAGCGGGUAUAGGUGUGCUCGUAUCCGGGAUCAUAUAUUAUACGGGCUUAAUUUUUCCGCCAAAUUUGGAUCGUUUUCAAAACGGAUAUGAGACAUGUAUCAUAUUUUCGAGCCGGAUAUGAGUCGAGACACCGGAUAGUCCGUAUCGAUUUACAGCCAUACAUAUGUAUAUUAGAAAAACAUUUACAGAUAAAUAAUAAAAACACUUUAUUAAUUAUAUUAUGUAAUAACAAUAUGUAUAAAAAUACUGUAAAAGUUAAAUUUGUAAGAGAAAAUAUAAUCAAGUCUAAUAUGAUAUAAUCAAACUUCAAUUCAUUAUCAUACAACCGGACAUGCAAAAAAUGACCGCAUCCAAUAGUACUAAACAAAUAAUAAAUAAGGUUAAAUAUUAAAGGGAAAAUAUAUAUUUUUUGUUACUCAAGUUAUUGUGUAUUUAGAAAUUUACCACCAACUGUAAAUUUUUUUAAUUUACUCAUUGAUGUUAGAUUCAGAUUAUUCUUUUUGUCACUAAAGUUAAGUUCGCCUUUGAUUAUUAAUAUUACUAGCCUAUAACCCGUGCGAAGCACGGGCGACCAUAUUAUUUCUUUUUUUUUAUUUGUAAGCUUAAUAUCAUUUUUUGUGUUUUAUUAUUAAUUUAAUAUAAUGGUAUUAAAUUAUAUUAACUGAUUGGUUAUAUUCACUUUUGAAAGUUUGGCUUGUACAAUAUUUUUCUCUAUUAUAAAAUAUUUUUAAGCAUAAUAAAAAAGUACAAUGGCAAUACGAUUUAGCAAUAACAUGAACAGCUUAAUGAUUGAUCACAAUCAUUUACAAACCAUCCAAAUGUAAAAAUAUCUCUAAUUCUUACUCACAUUAUGGUCAAUUUCAGAUACAUAAAUGGUGCAACGAAUAUUUUCAUCUCUUUGAGACUUAAAAGUUUUCCACUUAUCCGCUUCCUUCCCCAAGUUAGUUCUUCUCUAUUGAAACAAAAUUCGAAAACUAAAAUAUAAAUCAUAUUGACAUUGUAUAAAAAAUACUUUUAAUCACCGAAAAGGCCUCAGCAAUCUCAUGCGAACCAUGGAAGAAAUCUCCUCCGCAGCAAAUUGCUUAUCCUCACCUUUGUAAGAUACAGUACUAAAAAAUUUCACUAUAUUUCAAUAUAAUUCAGAUCCUAAAAAAUUAAAAAAUAAUUGCUUUUUUUAAGUAGAUGAGGACACUUAACUCACAAAACAGAGUCAAAUGAAUGCCACUUCAUUCUUCAAGUCCUGUUCAAAACUUGGCAAAGGAGCAUUCCUUUGGGAGGUUGUUUUCAAAUCUCUUAUUAUCUUGGCAAUAAUCAUAUAUGAGAUGAUAUUUUCUCACCAACUUGAACCACCUUCUUUGUGUCUGGCUUAAUGACCUAAACCUCUCCUUAUGCUAUCAAUUUGUCAAGCUUUCUCUGCAAAACCUUGCAUUCCCUUUCCACACACAAGCAUCAAUCUGAUAGUUCCUGAAUGAGGUAUUGAAGGGACCCUUUGACCAAUUAAUACGUUCUGCUAUCCUAUAGGCUCACUUUAAUGCUCAUUGGUUGCCACAUUGGAUAUUCAACUCCCUUGUCAGCAUAGUUCCUGCAUGUUCUUAUGGGAACAAAAUCCACCAUGAACCUACACCGAGUACAAAUAAAUAGAUUAGUACAAAUAAAUAGAUUGCUUAUAUGCUUGUGCAUCAUUUUCUGAGAUUAUACAUAUAAUCACAAAAAAAUUCAUCGUUUGAAAAUUCACUUACACAAUUUGGUAAAGAUUCCAGAGGAUGGAGUAUGUUUGAAAAUCCUUCGUCGGGUCAAACCACAAAUAUAUCCUUUCUUCUCUAUUGUCAAAGCCAUCAGCAAAAAUAUUGGUCUGAAGUAUGUAAGGCUGCCCGUACACAUUUCCAAGUAACUCAAAAUCUAUUUCAUCGUGAUUAGGCUGAUCACAUGUAAGCUGCAAUCACAAAGACAUUCUUAUCUAUAUUUCUCAAAUUGUGAGUUCUUAGGGGACAUGUCACAAUGUCCAUCAUGUGAUUUCAUCAGUAAUGUGCAUAUGCUAGCUUAACAUGAUGUACUACAUUCACUGUUAUAUUACAUAUAUUGUGUAUGUAGAAACAUGGCCAGUUAAAAAGGUGAGUUGCAGGAUUUAUUUGUCAUCUGCAAUCUAGGAGUAAUUAGCUUUACUCAAAUAUAAAUACACAAACUCUCCCACCUUGUGAGGUAUAAGGGCUUCAGUAUUAUCAUAGCCUAUUAUCUCUGUAGCCAAAUUAUAUGUCCAUCACAUUUGAUGUUUCGUCUGCUCCCGCUCCUAAUGAUGCACACUCUGUCCGGACAACCACUCACACCUAAGUUGUUAUAUAAUUGACCUGGUCUUCUCGAUUUGGAUCAACUUUAGCUGCCGAGUGAGAAUUGGGUACUUGGGAGAUUCUCCUAAAAAAUCAGUUGAGAUGCGGAUAGCUCUUUUUUUCGGACCUGGCUUGCGAAUUCCAUGACAUUGGAAUAUUAGUUAUACAUUUGUAGUUAUAUGGGCUAUGGACAGUAGAGCACCUUCAGGACCAUGUCAAGAAAUUUACUCAGAUUUGGGUGAUUAGUCCCUGCAUCUAUGAAUUAGCACCAAAUACAGUAAUACUUGGACCUAUUUACUAUGAUACUAUAUAUGAGAGAAAAUCUACAGAAUACCAAUCACACAUCAGAAAAUAUAGAAAACACUUGAAACUUCAAACUUCUUGCUGGACGCAGCAUUGACACCAAAACAUGAUAGGAUUUCAGCCUUUAGACUAAAUACCACGAAACUAAUCAACUUACAACCAGUUUAUAAAAUUACAUUCCUUCGCAAUCAUUGCAUAGAUAUUAAAGACCAAAAUAUGAGAUCUUCAUUGCACAUAGAUAAAAAGAUGCUGCAAAGCACAUUUACCUGAAUUUCACCACAUACAUAUUAAAGACCAAGAUAUGAGAUCUUCAUUGCAUAUAGAUAAAAAGAUGCUGCAAAGCACAUUUACCUGAAUUUCACCACAUACAAAUUAAAGACCAAGAUAUGAGAUCUUCAUUGCAUAUAGAUAAAAAGAUGCUGGCAAGCAUAUUUACCUGAAUUUCUCACAUAUGCAAGAUGUACUGACCACACAAGAAUUUAUCACCUGAACAUAAAAUCAGAAAAAAAAUAAAAUUAUCAUGCUACUGCGAUCUAGAAAGUAUAGAGGAGACCCCUGCUACCUGAAUAGCAAAAAGAACAGCAAUAAAUAAAUAAAAAUGAGCAAUGAGUUCUGCACUUCAGUUAUAGCAUUAUAUAAAAGACUGCUGCAGAAAAUAAAAUUAAAGAAAGUUAAGGAGUAAAAGACCUAUAAGAAAUUAUCAACCAGGCUACUCAUAGUGAUAAGAACUGAAUUCACACCAUAUAACAACUUCAUAUUGAGAAGAGAGAAAGCAUACCUAUUCUAGCGCUCUCGGUUCCACAACUACCCCAUCAGAUUCUCUAUCUCCAAACUCAACAUCUACAAACUCAACAGUCAUGAUAUAUUAUUCCUUGCUUCAGUCUUUCUCAAUUUUAUUAGAUCAUCUUCAGCACUCUUUAUAGGCAUACAUGGGUGCAUUGAGAAUAACUAACCUACUCCAUUAUCAAUCAUAUUCUUCCCUAGGUCCCCUGUACCACCAAAUGAAGACCCCCGAUCAAAACCUCCGUGUAUAUAUACAAUUUAACCAAUGAAAACAAAAGGACUUGUAAAAUGGAAUUUAAAAAGUCUUUUAACCGUAACAAUCAAUAAACUGGAAAAAUAGAGUCCCUUAUUAACUUAAAAAUAUUUUAAUUUUAAUUCCAAGCCACCAAAAUGAGCAAAGCACAGAGGAGCCUAAUAAUUAUAAAAUGAAAUGGAGAGAUUUCAGAGAUGACACGUCAUCCUCUGAAGAUCCUCCUUUAUAUAUAUAUAAGAUAAGAUUAAUAUUUCUACAACAUAGGACAUUUGCACCAGAUCCAAUAGGUCAGAAGGUAACAUAAUACCUGUAAAACUUGAACACCAGUCCAUUAACAGCCUCGUACAUAAGCCAACAACUUUAAUUUGUCAAUUAUUUUUAAUCAUAGAUAUCCGUCAUAUAUAAAUACAUAUUGAAAAAAAGAUCACAAACCUUUAUCACCAAAACAAACUUUAUGAAAUUCUCUGCAGACCAACCAAAACAAAGCAUACAGUAUACAACUAACAAAGCAUACAGUAUAGGUAACAAUCCUUUAAUGAAUACACGAGUUUCAAGUUAAUUUGGUAUAGUUAUUAACAAAAAGCAGUACCAUUUUAUGAAUGUGGAUAUAUUGGUGCUCUAAUACAGCCGAGUGAGGGUCUGAACCCACUCAUACAUCCAAGAAAAAAAAAAUUAGCACAAAAGAGUGUUACAAGUUUUUAAACUCAUUUUCCAGAUUGAUAACCUUCUCUUGUGACGCCAAAGAUUCAAGUAAUAGCAGCAGGACCAGAAGAAGAAUUAGGCAACAACUCUCUGUGACUCUCUCCGAUCACAUAAUCAAUUUCCAGCUGCUGGAAUACUAACAAUACAGUUCAUAAAUUAACAGCAGCUGAACAAAUCAUUUACUCGCAGAUGUUCGCAAAGUGUGAGAUAUAUCCAAUAUUAAUUAUAAAAAUAUGUAUAUGAAAUGCCUUGAAAAUCAAAAUGAUAUAAACAACAAAGAUGAAAUUAUCAAUCCUUAUAAGCAACUAAAUUACUGAACUUAAGAUAAAUAAACAAUGGAUAACAAAGAAAGCCAGUUAUUUAGAACACAGAGAACUCAUAUUCAUAUAUAUGUAUCCCGAAUAUACCUUCAGAGGAGAUGAAUUAUGUAGUGUUCUUGAGAGAUGGAAUGAAAAGUAGCACAGGAGCUCGCCGAGAUGAAGAGAGAGACAGCAGGCUAUGGUGAUAGGCUCUUGUAAUUCUACUCUGUCCCUCAAUCAUUUUUAAAAAAUCAGAUAAAUGGUGAGGUUUUUUUCGUGAAGGAGCCGACAAAAUCGAUGGAUUGAUACUAUAGACUACAGGUUGCAGAGAACAGUACUUACUUCAUGAAUACCUGCAGAGAAACAAAAAGCAAAUGCAAUUAGGGACGAGUUUAAGUGAGUAAAGGUAAGAAUGAGGAGAGACAGAGAUAGAAUUACCGAAGUGAGAAUAGGCGAAGUAAUAGUCGGCGCUUGUCUGGUCGGCGCCGAUGAUAGAGCCGUCGAGGCCACACAUGGCAGAAUCCUCUUCGAGAAUGGAGCUACCUGUUGUGGUUCCUUCCAAUUCAUUGUCCUCCUCGUCCUCAAAUUUUAUUUUUGAGAGCUUCUAUGAAGUAUUCAUAUCCUAGGGUUUAUCUGUGUUCAGGGUUUUCGAUUCCAAUUGAGAGCCGCUCUUGUUUGUCAAAUGUUUUAUGUAGUAUUUGGUUUUUCUUCAAAGUCGAUCUCUGUUGGGAAUAGGAGACGUAGUCUAAUGAUGACAAAAAAAUAGGACGAAAAAUGUAGUACGAAACCAAAAAACGUGAACAAAAAGUACGACCGCAAAUUAUACCCAUGUUGGCUUAUUAUAGUAUAGUAUAGAUUUAUAUUCUUUAUAGCAUUAUUAAAAUAUAAUGGUAAUCUGAAAUAUUUUAAUGAUGUGAUAUUUGUCUAUAUUUUUAUAUAUAUUACUUAGUUGUUAUAUACCCAAAAUUGUUUAUCUUAGGUGAUAAGAGUUUCACAAGCAUUGUACGGCUUCUAAAAAAUGUAGUUUAAAAUCCCCAUAAUAUAUUGUUCACACAGAAAGUAAUUUUUGGAUAAAUAUAGUGCACAAAUGGCUUCAAAUAUAUGUUUUAGAGUGUGAUAGUAUGGUCAUCUCGGUAACUGAAAAGAGCCGGCAUGAAGGAGAAAAGUAACACAAAGACUUGCAAAUGCUGCCUCUCACCUAAAUAAAAUAAGCUGGAUGCAUCUUUUAAACAUAGUUUAAAGGAAGCAUAUUUUUUCGUGACAAGGAUAAACAUUAUAAUCAUAAACAUUGUCUGCACAAGGCCAUAGUUUGUGUUUUACAUCGAAGAUAAGAAUCUUAUAGAGUCAAAUCAAACUUGUAAGUUUGCAUGCAAUUCUAUUCUAACAUUCUUACAUAAUAUUUGGCAAGUCUGUGUCAUUAAAAUUUACUGGAAAUGAAAGUGUUUGCAUAUCUUUACACAAAAUGUGUAGAAGUAAAUUGUAAAAAGUUGUAAUUAUAUAUCAUUGUGUGACACCUGCACAUUAAAAUAUCUCAUCUAGUUCAGGAACAACCCGUACACAUUGGGGACAACACAUGUUAGUGUGUUGCUUGGUAGAUUUUGAGAUAAAUCAGUGUUAAACAUUUCAGAUUUAUUUGUAAAAAACUGCAUUCGUAAUGACUAUUUACAUCCUUCUCACUGGAAUCUUUACCUCGGAGAUUGAUUUGAUAGAAAGCUCUUUUGCAUAGGUCUCAUUUGCAGUACAUACUGCUUUGCAGUAGGAGCCAAUAAGGAGUCUGUCUUGCCAUUUGAUCUAUCUUUGAGGGCGUUCAAAGGUGCGUAAUCAACAUUAAAGUAUGAUGAUCCUUGUUGCAUCUGUGCUUGACAAUGUAUCAUUGUGGGUGAGUCUGCAAUGUUAGCAGUAAAUAAUUGGUUACAACUAUACCAUUAGAAAAAAGCAUUUGAGUUGUUGGUGUUCAUAUUAUAACAUGUGUAAUUAAAGUUUAAUAUUUUACGAGACUUGUAGACAUCUUGGUGAGUUGGAUUAUUGAGCCUGUCACCUGAUAAUUUUUUGCCAGCAGUCUAGUAAUGACAACAAAAGUAGCCCUCUCUUCCACGUCCAUGAUUAAAGUCAUGGAUCGGAGUUUAUCAACUGAGAUGAGUUAAGUACUUUACAAAAUGAUAUGUUUUGUUAGCAAGAAACAUGUAAACCACCGUAAUGAGAUUAUUAGUUGUUAAGAAAUUAUAAUUACCAGAACGAGAAACCAACACAGUAAGAAAUUAGGGAUAAGCAUCAGAUUCAAGCAAAUUAUAUCUCAGUGUUUCUCAGUGUCACUGUUAGCUUGUGACUUGAUGCUUAAAGUUUAGGGUAAUUACAUCUUCUUCUGAUUAUUAGCACUUAUUUAAACUAAUUGUGAUAUUUAUUUAUAGCUCCAUAUACAAGUUUCCGUGCUCAAUCUCCAGGACUUGUUUGGGAACAGGAUGUUUGUUACGCUUGUCCGACAUCACAAGUUAGGUCGUGCGCCAAAAUUGCUUUUAUGAACUUAUCUUGAUUAAAUGACUUACUUUAAAUAUUAUGGCUUGUUAUUUCUUAAUGUACAGGCAAUGCUUAUCGACUUUUUAAAAUUUCUUCUCCAGACCAAACGCAGAAAAUCACACAUAUCGAGGAUGGACGGAUAAAAGCAUCCCGAAAAGAUUAUAAUAUAGGUUGUACCAAUUUAUAAUUUAAUAUUUAUGAUAUCUUCAAAUUUUACUCCAAACUACAGCCUAAUUAUUUCCUAACAAGUUAGGAUAUCUAAAUUCAUUCCUUAAAAAGUAGCAGUUCCAAAUUAUAAUUUAAAAAUUACGAUAUUUUUAAAUAUCAAUCCAAACUACAUCUUAAUUAUUUCUUCAUACGUUAGAAUAUUUAAAUUCAUUCCUUAAAAAGUACAAGUUCCUUAUCUUAUGUUUAAGAAUAAAAUAUUCAUUUUCUUCUUCUUUUCACUUUUUCCCUCCACAUUGCUUCCCUUGUAAUAGACUUUGAUUUUAAAUAUAUAUAAUAAUAAUAGGGAGUAUAAGAAUUGUUGUAUGUAAUUUAGUAUAAAUUCUAAUCUAUUGCAAGUUAAAUUUAUUAUGCUUAAGAAUAAAAUAUUUAUUUUCUUCUUUUUCACUUUCUUCUGUCCUUGUUUCACAUUUUUUUCUUUCUAAUGGAGUUUGAUUAUAAACAUAUAAAAAUAGCAAAGAGUACAAGAAUUGUUCGAAUUGUAAUUUAAUAUAAUAUCCUAAUCUACUUUGAUUUAAAUUUAUUAUUAUAUAUUUAAGAACUUGCUGGGGGAUCGCCCUUAGAGAUCCGGUAUGUCAGAUUCAUACGCGGGUUUUUUCUUUUAAAACUUGAGGUAUUUGAUUGGAGUGUUUUAUUAUUUAUUUUAUUCGUAUAGCAAACUGAAACGGAAUACUUCAGCAUUGUCAACUAGAGCAUAGAAUUUCAAAAACUUAUGAAAAGCAUACCAGGGAAACUUGAGGUUACGAGAUCCUGCACCUUAUUCUAAAAAAAACAACAAAAAAGUUCCACCCAGCUGACUUUAAAGACCUGGGCAGACUAGUCUGAUCAGCCGUUCAAGUUCUUUAUCUGAGAGCACUGGCCAAAUGAAGGUUUCUGCAAUGCACUGAGAAGUCUGCAGACAUCAGAAUCAGAUUACCUCAACUAAGGUCAUCAGACAUCAGUAUCUAAAAGUAGUGAAGAAGAGAAAUUAGAAACGGGUUAAUUAUCAAGUUAGUCACUGAAAUGAACUUAAUGUAUCAAGUUGGCCACUGAACUCAAAACGGUAUCAAGAUGAUCACUAAAGUCACCAUAAAUAUCAAACAAGUACCUUGAAAUAUGAGUUCAAAUAAUAAAAAUAUUAUUUAUAAAGUUUUAUACAUUAUUUUUACAUGUUACCACAACCAACUAUAAGGUUAUGACUUCUAGUAUUUAAAAUAAUAUAUAUUUAUAUUUUAUCAAAUUUAUUUAUUAUUUAUAUUUUAUUAUAUAAUUAUUUUCUUUGUUUUAUUUAAAAAUAAAUAAUAAAUAAAUUUAAUAAAAUCUAAAUAUAUUAUGAUAUAUAUUAGAAGUCAUAACCUUUUACUUGGUUUUGAUAACAUUCAAAAAUAAUGUGUAAAACUUUAUAAAUAAUAUUUUUAUUGCUUGAAUUCAUAUUUUAAGGUACUUAUUUGAUAUUUAUGGCCACUUCAGUGACCAUCUUGAUACCGUUGAUACCGUUUUGAGUUCAGUGACCAACUUGAUAUAUUAUGCCCACUUCAGUGACCAAUUAGAUAAUUAACCCAAUUAGAAACCUAUGACCAGUGACAGAUUAUAGGGUGCACAAGACAGUCACUGCAAGCAAGGAACUGGUUCCACCUUCCUCAUUGGCAAGGCUUCAUAAAGCCACAAAAAGAUCAUCGCUCUCCCUGAUGAAAGAUGGAACCAAAUCUGUUCUGAGGAUUGAAUAAUUUGUCGGGUACCUCUUCUUCCUAUCAUAUAUGUACUCAAUAGUCAAUACACUUCCUUACUGCAUAACAAAAAGAAACCAGUCAUCAAGCUUUCCCUAUUGCAUAACAAAAAAACCAAGAAUCAAGCAUUCGGAUCGAAAUCAAAAAACAUAUAUAAAAACCUUUUCUCCCUCCCCAAUCCCCAUGAUCAAAUUCAUGAGCUCGAAACCUCACUCUCCCCCGAAAUACUUAAUAAAAUAAUCCAUUAAAAUAUAUGUAACAAAUCCAUUAAUUGAUUUUGCAGUUUUUUUUCUUUUUUUUUUGCUAAAUCUCUUUAGUUGUUUUGGCAGUUUUGAUUAUACAAUUUCAACUCAGUAGCUUAGUAUUUGAAAUGGACUACUAUCAAGCAGCAUUGAUAAAACUGGUAACUGAAGUAACUAUGGAAAGUAAGCCAUACACAUACAAGCUCUUUAUCUCAUUUCGUUGAUAAUUCAAAACUGCAAUUAAGCUAUAUUAAGUCUUUUAGUUAUUUCACAUAAUAAAGACAUUAAGAUAAAAAAAUCUAUAAACAAAAAGUCAAUGUAGUGCAGAGAAGCUCCAUUCUUAAAUUUAAAUUCAACAAAAUUAUAUCAAAAUAACACCCAAUCAUUUGUAAUCAGUCAGACAAGAACUGCAAAUUUAACGACGACAUUUGAAAUGAAUACUGCCAGGGUAGCAGACCCUAGAAAUUAAAAUGUUGGCAAAUUGAAAAUUAUGUACCUUCGCAAUCUCUCACUCUGUUAGACCUAUGGCAAAUACUUAUUAUGCAGAGCAAGAAAAGCAGGUUCCUGUUCUUGUGAUUUAAGUAGGAAAUUUCCGUGCUUGCACCUGUCUGCAUGUACGAAAAUAACCUUGCAAUAUAGUGCGUUAAAUCUGAAUAGUUGGUGUCAAAUCUUGAAAAAUGCUGGCGAAAUCAAAAAGUGGGCCCUCUCUUUCUUUGUCACACCUAUGGAAAGUACUUCUCACGCAAGGCAAGGAGAGGAGCAUCCGGUUCAUGCACUUCAAUUUAGUCUAGUAACGCAGAUGCCGUAGAUGCAUCUGCUGCAAACCGACGACCAAGCAUUUCAUCUAGGAGUACACCUGCUUCACAGUAAUUCUUAUUCUGUAAACAACCGCGGAUAAGCAUGUUGUAUGUGACAUCAUUAGGCAAGCAAUCAUUAGCUUCCGUUUCCCUGAAUAGUUCAUUCGCUUCAUCCAAAAACCCUUCAUGAAAAUAUGCUUCGAUCAUCACUGUUUAUGUCUUGACAUCAGAUCGUACACAUUUCAUAGAAAGGUUAAAAAGGCUUCUUGUGUUCUCCAGAUGUCCAUUUUUGCUUAGUCCAUCAAUCAGAAUAGUGUAAAC